UACGUAGGCAGCGAGCGUUGUUCGGAAUUACUGGGCGUAAAGAGUGUGUAGGCGGUGCUCUAAGUUCGGUGUGAAAUCUCCUGGCUCAACUGGGAGGGUGCGCCGGAAACUGGAGUGCUUGAGUGUGGGAGAGGAAAGCGGAAUUCCUGGUGUAGCGGUGAAAUGCGCAGAUAUCAGGAGGAACACCGAUGGCGAAGGCAGGUCUCUGGGCCGAUACUGACGCUGAGGAGCGAAAGCGUGGGGGAGCGAACAGG
rnacentral:rRNA from 1 species